CCCUUAGAUGUUCUGGGCCGCACGCGUGCUACACUGAUGCAUUCAACGAGUCUAAAACCUGGUCUGAUAGGGCUGGGUAAUCUUUUGAAAGCGCAUCGUGAUUGGGAUAGAUGAUUGCAAUUCUUCAUCUUCAACGAGGAAUGCCUAGUAAACGCAAGUCAUCAGCUUGCAUUGAUUACGUCCCUGCCCUUUGUACACACCGCCCGUCGCUCCUACCGAUUGAAUGAUCCGAUGAAUACCAUGGAUUGAGAGUACGAAUAGGUUCGCUUAUUUCUGCUGCUCGAGAAGUGGAGUAAAUCUUAUCAUUUAGAGGAAGGAGAAGUCGUAACA
rnacentral:rRNA from 1 species